rnacentral:misc_RNA from 1 species
GAUGAAGAACGUAGCGAAAUGCGAUACGUAAUGUGAAUUGCAAAUUCAGUGAAUCAUCGAGUCUUUGAACGCACAUUGCGCCCCCUGGUAUUCCGGGGGGCAUGCCUGUCCGAGCGUCAUUGCUGCCCUCAAGCACGGCUUGUGUGUUGGGCCCCGUCCUCCGACCCCGGGGGACGGGCCCGAAAGGCAGCGGCGGCACCGCGUCCGGUCCUCGAGCGUAUGGGGCUUUGUCACCCGCUCUGUAGGCCCGGCCGGCGCUUGCCGAUCAACCCAAAUUUUUAUCCAGGUUGACCUCGGAUCAGGUAGGGAUACCCGCUGAACUUAAGCAUAUCAAUAAGCGGAGGA